CCUUUGACGUUAGCGGCGGACGGGUGAGUAACACGUGGGUAACCUACCUAUAAGACUGGGAUAACUUCGGGAAACCGGAGCUAAUACCGGAUAAUAUUUCGAACCGCAUGGUUCAUAGUGAAAGGUGGUUUUGCUAUCACUUAUAGAUGGACCCGCGCCGUAUUAGCUAGUUGGUAAGGUAACGGCUUACCAAGGCGACGAUACGUAGCCGACCUGAGAGGGUGAUCGGCCACACUGGAACUGAGACACGGUCCAGACUCCUACGGGAGGCAGCAGCC
rnacentral:rRNA from 1 species